rnacentral:rRNA from 1 species
GCGCUUUUGGAGCGGCCGAUGUCUGAUUAGCUAGUUGGUGAGGUAAAGGCUUACCAAGGCGUCGAUCAGUAGCUGGUCUGAGAGGACGACCAGCCACACUGGGACUGAGACACGGCCCAGACUCCUACGGGAGGCAGCAGUGGGGAAUUUUGGACAAUGGGGGAAACCCUGAUCCAGCCAUGCCGCGUGAGUGAAGAAGGCCUUCGGGUUGUAAAGCUCUUUCAGCCGGAACGAAACGGUCACGGCUAAUACCCGUGACAACUGACGGUACCGGAAGAAGAAGCACCGGCUAACUACGUGCCAGCAGCCGCGGUAAUACGUAGGGUGCGAGCGUUAAUCGGAAUUACUGGGCGUAAAGCGUGCGCAGGCGGUUUUGUAAGUCAGAUGUGAAAUCC